GGGGAUAACGUAAGGGAAAAUAAUGAUAAUACCUUACUAUUAGUGUCGUCCAAAAGCUCGUGCCAGAAGACUCGGUAAGGCGAGAGACGCAAACGUUAGUCGUCUUGAUCAGGCGUAAAGGGUUUGUAGGCGGCUUUAAGUAUCCAACAUUAAGUUUGCUAUUAUAGUGCUUAUUAAUUAAAAAGUAUUAUAAUAUUUAUUAAAGGAUCAAUUAAAGCUAGAAUCUAAAAGAGGUUAAAACAAUGCUUGGAAAUAGGUGUACUAACCGUAAACAUCAAGUAGAGUGCUAAGGGCGAAGGCAUUUUUCCAAUGAAGAUUGACGCUGAGAAACGAAGGUGAGGAUAGAAAAAAGGAUUAGAGACCCUUGUAUCCCUCACUGUCAACGAUGAAUGGUAGUUACUAGGGAGAAAUGACCUAGAGACGAUGUUAACACGAAAACCAUUCCGCCUUGUGAGUACGACUGCAAAGUUGAAAACAAAAAAAUUAG
rnacentral:rRNA from 1 species